GCAUCCCAUUUGGUGGAACCACGUCGCCGACUCAGGCAACAAUGGAUUUGUUUACCCUCCGCUUCCUCUUAAAAGCGCGGGAGUGUCUGAAGACGGCAGUGGGCAUUGCAGCUCCGUUAUGUGGGUUACGCUAAACCAUUUUCUGCUCUUCACACAGUUCGUUCCUUUGUGGACGCCUGAUGUCUCCGACAAGCUACAUCUUAGGAACACAUCGACGACUGGAACAACAACCCAUCCAACGCCGUCGUAUGCGCCAGCUGAGCAUCCCAUUUGGUGGAACCACGUCGCCGACUCAGGCAACAAUGGAUUUGUUUACCCUCCGCCUUCCUCUUAAAAAGCGCGGGAGUGUCUGAAGACGGCAGUGGGCAUUGCAGCUCCGUUAUGUGGGUUACGCUAAACCAUUUUCUGCUCUUCACACAGAUGACCACAGUAUGCGCACAUGUGCAGAAAUUUGUUGCUGAGGGUGGGACUACCCCUUGGUACGCGUGGAAGUAUGGCUAAGGCCCCCCAGACGACAAGCUGUAUCCCAAGCGCACGUCUUCGUCAAUCGAUUGAGCCGAGGUACCCACAGUCCCCACAGGAAAUGCUCGCAUUGUGGCUCCACCGUCCCUGCAAAAUGGCUACGCUCUGGAUACAGCAAAAAUGCUGGCCUGUAACUGUUUAUGUGUAUGGUAAUUGUGACAUUGCAAAAUAAAUCAUGUAGUAGAAAAAUA